AGGGGCGUAGCUCAAUUUGGUAGAGCACCGGUCUCCAAAACCGGCGGUUGGGGGUUCAAGUCCCUCCGCCCCUG
rnacentral:tRNA from 1 species